rnacentral:snRNA from 1 species
GUGCUCGCUUCGGCAGCACAUAUACUAAAAUCGGAACGAUACAGAGAAGAUUAGCACAGCCCCUGCACAAGGACGACACGCAAAUUCGUGAAGCGUUCCAUGCUUUU